UUGCUUCACCAGCACAUGUGCUAAAAGCACAAGGAUACAGAGAUUAGCCUGGCCCCUUGGCAAGGAUGACACGCAAAUUUGUGGAGCAUUCCAUAUUUUU
rnacentral:snRNA from 1 species